rnacentral:misc_RNA from 1 species
AAGACUAUAGACCUGCGGAGUACCUGCGGAGGGAUCAUUACAGAGUUCAUGCCUCCGGGCAGACCUCCCACCCGAUGUUAUCGCUACGACCGUUGCUUUGGCGGGCCGCCGGCCCCGGCCGGCGCGCGCCCGCCAGAGGCCCCCCAACACUGGAUGUCGUCGUCGUCUGAGUACUACUUAAUAAGUUAAAACUUUUAGCAAUGGAUCUCU